GAUGAACGCUGGCGGCGUGCUUAACACAUGCAAGUCGAACGAAGCACUUUUGAUUCUUCGGAAAAGAAAGUGACUGAGUGGCGGACGGGUGAGUAACGCGUGGGUAACCUGCCUUAUACAGGGGGAUAACAGUUGGAAACGACUGCUAAUACCGCAUAAGCCGACAGGGCCGCAUGGCCUGGUUGGAAAAGAUUUAUCGGUAUAAGAUGGACCCGCGUCUGAUUAGCUAGUUGGUGAGGUAAUGGCUCACCAAGGCGACGAUCAGUAGCCGGCUUGAGAGAGUGAACGGCCACAUUGGGACUGAGACGCGGCCCAAACUCCUACGGGAGGCAGCAGUGGGGAAUAUUGCACAAUGGGGGAAACCCUGAUGCAGCAACGCCGCGUGAAGGAAGAAGUAUUUCGGUAUGUAAACUUCUAUCAGCAGGAAAGAAAAUGACGGUACCUGACUAAGAAGCCCCGGCUAACUACGUGCCAGCCGCCGCCGUAA
rnacentral:rRNA from 1 species